UUAUCUCUGAUCUUACUUGAAUCAACUCUAGUCCUUCAUCUAACCAGUGUAGCUGGUGACUGAAGGAAGGAUGGAGCAGAAACGUGGCCUCGUGCAACUUUCUUACUAGUUUCUAGGAAAACGAUAGAGCACAGGAUCUGAAGUCAAUUCUGUACAGCAGCAGGAUGAAAAUCUCUAGAUUUUCUCAUGUCCAGACUGGAAAGGGUUAAGAGGGAGGCCCUCCAAUGGUGCAUCCUGUCACUGGAGCUUGCUUAAUCUGGCUUCACUUUCAGAGGACUUUCUACCACAGAGCAGCAGCAAUCAGGUCCCAACCCGCUAGACUCUUCCCUCCCCUGCCCAACAUCAGAAUGGAUGGCCCAUCGAGACAAUGCACACACUGGACUGGGACAACUCAGAAGCACCCCUAUUUGCUAUCUUUGCAAAUACAGGUGGGCAACACACCUCUGUGGAGUUCUCAGCUUCCGGUGGCUGUGGCAGCUAAUUGGGAGUAAAAUGAAGCACGUUAGUCAGUCACGGCAUUUGCAUUUUAUAGGCCACAGAGAAGUCUGCAGACCGACACUGAAGGACGAAACACGGAGAGAAAGAUCACAGACAGGUGAUUCCUCUGAAUCACCUGCACAGGGGGCGGGGCAGGGCUGUCGACAGGACCAACCACUUUAAAGUGAAUGGAAAGUGGUGGGAAAGAUGACUGAUAAAAGACAUAGGUUUAAAAAUCAGAAAAUAAAAUAA
rnacentral:lncRNA from 1 species